CCUACGGGAGGCAGCAGUGAGGAAUAUUGGUCAAUGGGCGGGAGCCUGAACCAGCCAAGUCGCGUGAGGGAAGACGGUCCUAUGGAUUGUAAACCUCUUUAGGCGGGGAGCAAUGCCGGGCACGCGUGCCCGGAGGGAGAGUACCCGCAGAAUAAGCAUCGGCUAACUCCGUGCCAGCAGCCGCGGUACUACGGAGGAUGCGAGCGUUAUCCGGAUGUAUUGGGUGUAAAGGGUGCGUAGGCGGAUUUUUAAGUCAGCGGUAAAAUGUCCGGGCUCAACCCGGGCCGGCCGUUGAAACUGGGGAUCUUGAGUGGGCGAGAAGUAGGCGGAAUGCGUGGUGUAGCGGUGAAAUGCAUAGAUAUCACGCAGAACUCCGAUUGCGAAGGCAGCAUACCGGCGCCCGACUGACGCUGAGGCACGAAAGCGUGGGGAUCGAACAGGAUUAGAUACCCCAGUAGUC
rnacentral:rRNA from 1 species